UACAGAGGGGGCAAGCGUUAUUCGGAAUUAUUGGGCGUAAAGGGCGCGUAGGCGGCUUGGCAAGUGGAAGGUGAAAUCCCUCGGCUUAACCGAGGAACUGCCCUCCAAACUGCUUUGCUUGAGGCCGGGAGAGGCGAGUGGAAUUCCCAGUGUAGCGGUGAAAUGCGUAGAUAUUGGGAGGAACACCAGUGGCGAAGGCGGCUCGCUGGACCGGUUCUGACGCUGAGGAGCGAAAGCGUGGGGAGCGAACAGG
rnacentral:rRNA from 1 species